rnacentral:rRNA from 1 species
AAAAUGAAGGAGGUAGUGACGACAAUUAACGCUAUCCUCGUCUUUUGGCGAGGAUCGUCGGAAUGAUUUCGAUUUAAAAUAUCGAAAGAAAGCAAUUGGAGGGCAAGUCUGGUGCCAGCAGCCGCGGUAAUUCCAGCUCCAAUAGUGUAUUGUAAAGUUGUUGUGAUUAAAACGCUCGUAGUUGAAUGAAAACAAUCGGGACAUGAUUUACGAUCUCUCCUCCAUACGGUGGAUUCGUCCAUUAGGUUGAGUUGAUCAAAAAUCAAACAAUGUCCUACUAUAAGCGAGAGGGUGGAAUUAAUUCCAAACUCUUUUACUUUGAUUAAAUCAAGGUGCUUAAAGCAAAAUCUUCUGUUAACGAAUGAUGAAGCAUGGUAUAGAAUUAAAACAGAACAGAAAGAAUAACGAAUAAAUGGAGAUGGGCAACCAUUCGAAAUUUAUUUAUUUUUGUUUUGUUUAAAACAAGGUUAAGAGAAAUGAUUAGGGUGAUUUAGAUAGGAACGGGAGAGGUGGAAUUCCAUGAUCGUUUCGAGAUAAACGAGAGCGAAAGCAUUUCACUGAAUUCAUUUCAUUAAUCAAGAACGAAAGUCAGGGAAUCAAAGACGAUUAGAUACCGUCGUAGUCCUGACCAUAAACGAUGUCAACUAAGGAUUGGAUAAGAAACAUCGAAGUAUGAGCCUUUUUCUCCAACUUGUUGGAAAAAAAGCGUUUCGCUUCAUUUCUUCCCUUAUUCAGGACUUGAUGAGAAAUCAUUAAGUGAAUGGACUUCAGGGGGAGUAUGGUCACAAGGCUGAAACUUAAAGGAAUUGACGGAAGGGCACACCAGGAGUGGAGCCUGCGGCUUAAUUUGACUCAACACGGGAAAACUUACCAAGACCAAACGGUGUAAGGAAUGACAGAUUACUGGGUCUUUCAUGAUUCAUCGGGGAGU